AAAUUUUUUACACCUAAAAUGGUACACUGACUGAAAUUUUUUUUUUGGGGGGGGAGGUUGUCCGGAAAAAUUUUUUCCGGGAAAAUUUUUUUAGAUAGGGGCCCCUAAAAAAAAAUUUGCCCCGGGCCCCCGCCAACCUCUGGGCGGCCCUGCUUCUGACACCAGAUAUGGAGGGUUUAAUCACGGGUUUAAUUCACUCGUAACAGUUUCCGGAUUAGGAAAUGAUAGCUGACAUGACCUUUAACAGUAUUAAAGAACAUCAUAUUACAACAAUACUUUGAGGGAAACCCCGCAAAUAAUAUUCAACGUGGAAUAAUUUUGUCGACUUAUAUUUCGCCGCAAUGCCUUAUAUAAUACAACAAAUAGACCGAAACAUUUUUGUAGACUUUUUUCAGACACCAAAAUAGUCCACUACUUAAAAAUGCAGAAAAAUGACAGUGUUUACGGCAAUUACCGGUAGUAUCACUUGUAUAAAUAUAAUAGUCGCAAUGUUCUGAAAAUCUUAGAAUAUUUUGACUACUGUAAAAUGAUCGG